UAUUUCAUAGACAAAAUAGAAAAGGCCUCCGUUAAAUGUGAAAUAACCACACAGGGUUUAUAUGAAUUGCCCGAACUCAAGCUUCUCAGUUUCCGCAGAGUCAAAACACACCUCUUUAGACGAUCCCGUGCGGUUUCCAAAAAUAGAGCGCAGCAGGUAUGCCCACUCGCAGGUUACGUUGGGGCCACCCCGCCCUCGUCAGCUGCGUAAAGAACUCAAAACGACUUCCUUCCUGACAUGAAAGUGCACCAAGGUCAGUUUAACGGAGUCGUUUUCCCCUGGCGUAAUCACGGCCGAGCGCGGCGGCUGAAAAACGUAAAUAUUGAACUUGCUCAUUCCACGUUGCGUGUCAGGUUUGAAAUUUCAGCUGCCGCAGUUCAUCAAAUCGACCCGCUGACUGCUGAGACUUGAGAGGACAAACGCUGACGUUUGUCUUUAAUUAAGAAGUAGUGCACAUUUUUGCACUAAUUUAAUUACACGAGCGCAAAUCCGGACGUCGUUGUAAGACGUUUCUUGCAGAUUUUGGGGAGCUGGCCGAGCCUCGACCCUAUUGGCCGCUUUGUAUAUUUAUUCCAAAUACUUCUUUGAUUGACACAAAAUUUGCGCCUGGCAGCAGCUGGAUUUUCCGAAGAAUUUUGUGUACUUAAAAAAAAUUUUUUUUUACUCUCUCUCAAAUUCAACUUGAUGAAGCUUUGCAACAUAUAAAUAAACCCCGCGGCACACAAGUGGAAGGCUGUUGAACGAACGCCACAGAGCGAGGGCAGAGGGCCCAGAAUACUCUGUCGACUUGUCAGGAAAAUAAAAUAUUCUGCUCGGCAACACUUCAUAAAUAUGGAGGGGCAGACCUUUUCUGAAUUUGGGGGUGCGCGAAAAGGAAACAAACUUGACGUUGAAUUCAUCAAGCGAUUUCUUUUGACCGUCUAGACGCGAUUCGGUCACACGCUAGUUGCCCCUCCGUGGGGGGGUGGGGGGCACCAUUGACGACGACUGUCAAUGGUGCUCCCGUUAAGAAAUUGUUUUAAAGACUGAAAAAUAUUCACGAAUGAAACGGUCGUGCAGGCGAGGAUCUAUUCUAGCCUGAUACAGAGCCUUGAGGAACCCCCAAAACUGGCUGAAGAAUUUCAAUGUAACCUUUGUAUCCUUCAGUUUUUUUCUGUACGCAGUCCUCUGGAGGAAACGGUUGAAGGCAACCCCGAUGUAGACCUCGAGUGACCUUGCUCCAGGCAGACUUUUGAAGUGAAGUUGACGCUUUUUGCUCACUCUUGUUAGCAAAAGAGGUCAAGGUGUGCCAGCAAAUAAAGAAACGAGGACCUGGAUAUCGUCUGCACGACGCAGACCAAACCAAAAAGCCUGGCGGAACCACCGUGUUUGUGUAGCUGCAGGCUUCUCGUCACCCGCUGCAAAGCCACCCACCUCGGAGGUGGACCGCGGGGCUGAGGCUUUUCAACCCUCGCAAAAAGA